UACGUAGGGAGCAAGCGUUGUCCGGAUUUACUGGGCGUAAAGGGCGCGUAGGCGGCCAGCACAAGUCAGUUGUGAAAUCUCCGAGCUUAACUCGGAAAGGUCAACUGAUACUGUGCGGCUAGAGUGCAGAAGGGGCAACUGGAAUUCUUGGUGUAGCGGUGAAAUGCGUAGAUAUCAAGAGGAACACCUGCGGCGAAGGCGGGUUGCUGGGCUGACACUGACGCUGAGGCGCGAAAGCUAGGGGAGCGAACGGG
rnacentral:rRNA from 1 species